UCAGCUGAGGAGAGAAAUAAAUGCAUAAACAACAAAAGGAGGUGACGUCACACAGUGUCUGAACCGAGGACAGAAUUACAUGGAGGAACUGGAUUCACACUUAUCUCAGUGUAGAUGUGUGUGUGCGUAAAUAGUGUUUGCAAGAGUGUCUGUGUCCUUUGCACUGUCUACAAGAACAGAAUUGAGGGGAGUUUUUUUGGCACAGCGAAGCUGGAGUAUUAUGGUCUGUUUGAUACCUAUGGAUGAUGGCAUGGAAAGCCUACCAAGCAUAGCAAGAAUUAGAACAACCCACGACAACGCUCAAUUGGCCAAGGGCAGCUUCCAACAGCUCUGAGGACUGCUCUGAUUGGUUCAGGGCUGAGUCCGGAUGAAGAAGCAGGAAGAUGCCUGUUCUGGAUAGUGUUUUGCGCUCAGUUUUGUCAGUUUUCUGGGCUUUGAGUUGGGGAGGAGUUCGGCUGAGUCCAUGUGCUAAAACCCUCCUGAGGAGCAAUGGGAGCACAGAGACCUGGGAAUUCUGCCAAAAGGCCGACAAAAACAUUUGUGACAUUCUCAGAGACGUACCCCCCUCCCUCCCACUCACCUCCCUCCCCCACGUCCGCUUCCCUCUCUUCGUUGGUUAAUUUAGCCUAUCGAGCCCCCCCCCCUCCUACCACCACCUCUCAGGGGUUCUGAUAUUAUCCCUGGAUGAAGUGAGAGAGGAGUGGAAGGAGGAAGAAAGAAGUAGUACAAAACUCUCGUCCAAAUAGCAAGGAGGGGAUUGUGGGAAGGGGGCGUAGCAUUGAGAGGGUGUGCACUCCAUUUCUGCACUCCCUUCUUCCCGCCAUAACAGGCCUCUUCUCCUCCAGUUUUCCCUCUCUUCGGCCCUGCCAGUCGUCGCCACAGAAACGAUGUCCAGGUAUUUCUCCUUUUUUAUCCUUAAACUCCUCUUUCUCAACUUCCUCUUGCCUUAUUUCUCUCCUUUUCAUGCUUGUUCUCUUAGUUCCUGUCUCCUCUCCCUCCACUCUUGUCAUUACUCCUCAUUUGAACCUUGCGGAUGCCACGCUGCAUUCAGCGCUCCGCCAUCUUUGUUUUCAAAUUUUUGUGAAAGGUUUUCUGUACACUGGAUUAGGCUUGCCUCCAUGAUUUCUCAUCUCUCUCCUCCCUGUCUGCUAUGGAGAGACAAGCAGGCUUUGACAGACCAAUAAACAAUCUUGCCUGUGGGAAGUGCUGGACAGAGCAGGUGUCUCAUGGUACUGAUGGAAUACAAGUGGCCAUGUACCUGAGUGUGGAACACAUGGCAUAAGUGAGUCUCUAUGAGUGCAAAAGGGUUGUGAAUGUAAGAGUGUGCAUGUGAAUGUGGAGAAAAUGUAUGUAAAAUUAAGUAAGUUUGAACACCAUUUGUACUUAAAUUAAAGUGUCACAGUUAUUAAAGUAGCUGUGAUAAAAGAGACAGACACACACAUACAGCAGUCUUAUUGCCACAGGUAGUCACGAUGGGUAACAGCAGGGAAAUAUUUACCUUUCUUAACUUUCGCUAAACACUGUUGUGUUUCUCAUGCCCCCUACCAUGAAACCCUGUUAUUUGGUGACUGUGUGUGGGGAUGUGCAUACAUGCAAAGGGCGUACUGCGGCAUGAAAGCUGUUUUACAGUGUCUGCUGAACUGUACUAUUUGCGUGGGUGUUUCUUCAUAACAGGAAACCCAGACAGGAACAAAACUUUGUCAGUAUGUCAGACAUGCUAGCAUCCUGAUAAGACACUUCUCUCAUGGUGAUGCAGAACAAAACAACAGUAACUGGCUGCAGUUGAGCUAUUACACAUCAGUCUGACAGAUGGCUGGCAUGUGACACGAUUGACAUUGGGCACCAAUAUUCAUAUUACUUGGCAAACAAAGGCAGGACACAUUCACAUUCUGUUUCCAUCUAUAGGGUGUGUCAUGUUAGGCUGAAGAGUCAUCUGUUAUUCAGAAUAGUGGAUUUACUACAAAUUAUGUAAGAUUUUUUUUAUUAAACUUGGGUGCUCCUUCUUUUUCACAAGUUGCAAUAGGCUGUGCUUUCUAUAGAAAGUAUAUUUACUAUUAAAAAUGUAUUUGUAUUAUGCGAUAAUUUUUUACAUUCAAAGCUCAAAGGAUUGCUUUCCUCUUGCAUGUGCUACUCAACAUUGAGUGACUCUAAACAACAAAAGACGAAAUGUUUGAUGCAAAUUAAACGAAAAAGGCAAGAUAAAUAAAUACACUCUGGGAGUGGAGUUGAACUUUUGUGUAUCCAUUAACGAUCAGAUAACUUGACUGCAUGGAACAAUCUAGAGUACAUUACCUAAAAUAGGGUGUUGUUAAAAUGGCGACUCAAUGCCACGUGUUGGGAUAUCAAGAAGAUUUGUUUGUUACACUCAUCAAGUCACUCAUAGCGCCAACAAAACUAAAUACGCAUCCCUCUUUAACGCAAAAACAAUCUUCCAUCAUUCGGCAUUAACCCAAGGUAGCAGGGAUUCGGACCUAAACAGUAUGACAGUAAGAUACUGUGUGUGUGGCAAUGUGUUUCUUUCACAGAGAAAGAAGGAAUGGGAAAAGGGAACAUGAUGAGAGAAAUCGACAGAGACACUGAGAGAGAAGGAGAAUGAAGAAAAAAAGAAAUAGAGAGAGGCGUGGUGCGGAGAGCAUUUUUCUCCGCCUUCUCCUAUCCUCAGAUGAACUUCUCAUGUUGCCUCAUAAUGCUGAUGUUUUUUUCACUCCUAGAGGCAGCCUGGCUCACUUCCUGCUUUCAGCCACCACUCGGCUGAUUGGUCGAUAUAUUUUCUCUAUGGCCACGGCCAAGGAAAAGCAACAGGAAGUGCCUCGGCUAACACAGGACACGAGUAUGCUUAACUCGAGUAUGUUCACCCAUAUAGCCUUCAAAACUACAGAUGUUCAUAUCUGUGUUAAUUUUGGGGGGGAAACACACACAUUUGUGGUCGGGUGUGUCAGUGCAUUUCAGGAUGUUUGAAUGCAUGUGUGUGUGUGUGUGCGUGUUUGUCAGAGCAACUAAGAACUAAGAGCACAAAGGGGAAAUGGGGGACGACUAGCGAGAAAUAGAGGAAACAACUGGGAGUAGGGGGGUGGGGUUGGAAUAGAGCCAACAGAAUCUGAGAACUAAAUUCAGGGAGUCAGGUGGCUGAGCGGUUAGGGAAUUGGGCUAGUAAUCUGAAGGUUGCCAGUUCGAAUCCUGGCCGUGUCAAAUUUACAUUUACAUUACAUUUACAUUUAGUCAUUUAGCAGACGCUCUUAUCCAGAGCGACUUACAGUAAGUACAGGGACAUUCCCCUCGAGGCAAGUAGGGUGAAGUGCCUUGCCCAAGGACACAACGUCAUUUGGCACGGCCGGGGAAUCGAACUGGCAACCUUCUGAUUACUACCCUGCUUCCCUCGCCACCCUACUUGCCUUGGGGGAAUGUCCCUGUACUUACUGUAAUUCACUCUGGAUAAGAGUGUCUGCUAAAUGUAAGUUAAGAUAGGUUACAUUGCACAAUUUUGAGAAUUUAAAUGCUCAGUCUCUGCCCUGCUCACAUUUAUCACAUCCUGGUGUCACCUGGUGUUUUGCUCAGCUCAGUAUAGUACCUAGUGUGUGUGUUGAUGUGGAGCGCAAGCUUCCUACCCUCACCCUCCCAGACACACAUACUAUCCCCCCCCCAUCAGUCUGUAAUUCAUAAAAAGGCAUUCUUCUGGGAAUGGGCAUGGAAAAGCUGGCAUAACAAUAACAAACGAACACUCCCUGGCUCCCCAUGUUGACUCCUGUAAGAGACAGACAAUAUCAGUCACCAGUUAAAGUGGGGGGGCUGGAGCUUACCCUUGCAUUAAAAUCAUUGUUUGCUAGAAGUUAUUUCUACUAGUGUCGUAUUCGUCAUCAUGCCAUUGAUUGUGGGGCAUUCUACCCCUAACUCCCUAUGCCUGCCACCACCAAGCCCCCACCCCCUCACAUUUGCCACCUCCUUCAUUGCCUCAUUUAAAUUCUGGCUGGCACACAGAAGCUGCCCAUUACUUGGCACUGGGCAGAGAGAGAGAGAGAGAGAGAGAGAGAGAGAGAGAGAGAGAGAGAGAGAGAGAGAGAGAGAGAGAGAGAGAGAGAGAGAGAGAGAGAGAGAGAGAGAGAGAGAGAGAGAGAGAGAGAGAGAGAGAGAGAGAGAGAGAGAGAGAGAGAGAGAGAGAGAGAGAGAGAGAGAGAGAGAGAGAGAGAGAGAGAGAAAAACCACAAGAAGCCGUACCAAAGCAUUCAUCUUGCCUUGUGGACAGACCCGUCGAUUCUUUAGGUAUUUCGCCUGUCUCUCCUUCAAAUAUGUUACUUCUUUUUGCGUGGGGGUUCUUGGCGGAGGUGUUGGCAGGAUUUGCUAAUUGAUUAAUGUGUUUAUGUCUCCUGGAUUGGCUGAGGAGUAAAUCUGAUGACUCUUGCGUCCUUGCGACUGCAGGAGAGAGAGAGCAAAGGCCUACUGUAUUGUUUCAGUGAAAGCCUUAGAUUAUCUUUUCCCGGGAUAAGGCAAGAAAGAAAGAAUGACUUGUCGCGUUUUCAAGACUUCCAACAGCUUGACAGAGAGAGUUACCUCUUUGCCAGAAUAAGGUAGCCAUUUUAUGUCAGAUGAACAGAAAGAGGGUGCUGUGUUUGAUGAUGACAAUCCCUCUCUACAAUUUUAAACACUGCCAGUGACUUGGCUUUCAAAACUGCUUGGGUUUUCUGUGUUCUGUUUGCUUUGGAGUCCUUGACGCACAUCUUGGUAUAGUCAGGGGUCUCCAUUUACUUCCAUUCACAUCGUAGUUCACUGUUUGCACUUGCACAGUUGUCGUCAGUUUUUUUCUGUUUAAAAGGUUUUUGUGUUUUCACACAUAGCUCUGUUUUCUACAACUAUCUAUUCUUUGAACACAGACCUGGCAUUGCAUGUCAAUGAAUAAAAAGUGUAAAGCAUUAUAAUAACACAGGCAACUAGUGACAUUCUAUAUCACCUUAUGCUGCUUUAAAAGUAACAAGGCUAUUCCACAAAAUUAAAAUGACAGCAUUAAACACAAGUUAGUUUACACAUUGUCAAAUUACUUAUGGGCAAGGCCUAUAUUACAACAAAGUGCUGUCAGAAAUACACAUUUACACUGUAUCGUAUGAGAGAGUUAGGAGAGUGUUAUACAGAAUGAAAUGUGAACCCAGUUUCACAUUGCUGAUAGGGCAGUAGUUUUGGAGCGUGAUCUCGUCUUCCUUGGCUGGGUUAGCAUCUACUAGACCAGGAAAUCAACCACAGAGAAACAUUUCCUGAUUAGCCCAUGACGGAAGCAAGAUAUCAGGGGCCAAAAGAGGACACAACAUUAGGUUUUUAGGCCUUUCAAAUGCUGUUAUUCAAUCAUUGCAUGACAUAGAAAACAGACUAUUUGAACAUAUGUAUCAUAGAGAGAUUAAAUUAGACCAACUAUAUGGACCAGACUUUUGGCUUGGUUUUGAACUUUUAGCAAAUAGAAUCAACUCCUAAAUGCAGCUGCUCUACUGGCUCAUGUCAAAUUUGUGUGUGCCCUGUUUCACAGACAAAGCUGAUAGCCAGAGGCGAAGGCCAGAAUCUAAUGGUCCCCACAUGACUGUCCACGUCUGGUGUUCAUGGAAUUAGAGAAUAUGGCUUCAGUGUUUGGAAUCAGACCAAAUCUGGUAAAGACAAGUGACAAUAGACAGUCAAGUCAGAAUGACAACUGUUGGCCUGUGUAAAUAACUUGCGUGUUGAAGUUUGAGGUACAGUUGGAUCAAGUUUUCCCCUCUCUCUCUAAAAUUGCAAAAACAUUGAUGAUUCAUUAACAUUUUGUAUCCACUACCACACUGCUAAACUGUAACCCAAAAGCCCUCUUAUUUGCAGAGCGUUGCUAUGCUUGCAACUUCCACUAAGCCAAGUAGCUUUCUGGUCUGCCCUUUUCACAACCUCACUGCAUUUCACUGUGUCUCUUUCUCCGCCUUCCAGACAAUAUCUAUCUCUACUAUUGAUUGAGAGUUCUUGGCAACCAAACAUGUUGUAUGUGUGCGUGUGUAGAUUUGGCCAGUCCUAUGGUGGCAGAGUUGGGCUCAGUGCCAACGUUACACCUGUCUGUCUGUCUGGUGCAAUCAGACUGGAGAGGUCCUCUGCAUGCUAAUGAGGGGCUGGUCGCCAUCUCCGGGGGCCCUGGCUCCCAUACUAAUUUAUGCAAAGUGGGUUCCAACCCCGACGCACCCCUCCUUCACUAUGUCUGCCCUCACUCCCCACCCCCAGGCCUGGCAUCUAGGCUGCCACCCGUUAACCCCUUCCGCUGCUGUGCCAGGGGAGAUACUUGCAGAUGCCCCUCUUGUGCCUGCUUGCCUUGCUUCCAAUUAAGCUAGUAUCUCAAAAGAGCCAUCAUAGAAUCAUCAGUGUUGUGUUCAGUUUUCAGGAAAUUUGAAUCUGAAGUGGCUUUUGGAAUUUUAUCAUGAUCUUCCUAGACUAGAACAGAAUUUGGUUCUAUUUUUUAUUUUCUACAUAUAUAUUGUACUGAAUACAACCUAU